GACGAACGCUGGCGGCGUGCCUAAUACAUGCAAGUUGAGCGAUGAAGAUUGGUGCUUGCACCAAUUUGAAGAGCAGCGAACGGGUGAGUAACGCGUGGGGAAUCUGCCUUUGAGCGGGGGACAACAUUUGGAAACGAAUGCUAAUACCGCAUAAUAACUUUAAACAUAAGUUUUAAGUUUGAAAGAUGCAAUUGCAUCACUCAAAGAUGAUUCCGCGUUGUAUUAGCUAGUUGGUGAGGUAAAGGCUCACCAAGGCGAUGAUACAUAGCCGACCUGAGUGGGUGAUCGGCCACAUUGGGACUGGGACACGGCCCAAACUCCUACGGGAGGCAGCAGUAGGGAAUCUUCGGCAAAGGACGAAAGUCUGACCGAGCAACGCCGCGUGAGUGAAGAAGGGUCUCGGAUCGUAAAACUCUGUUGGUAGAGAAGAACGUUGGUGAGAGUGGAAAGCUCAUCAAGUGACGGUAACUACCCAGAAAGGGACGGCUAACUACGUG
rnacentral:rRNA from 1 species